CCUACGGGGGGCUGCAGUGAGGAAUAUUGGUCAAUGGGAGAGAUCCUGAACCAGCCAAGCCGCGUGAGGGAAGACGGCCCUAUGGGUUGUAAACCUCUUUUGUCGGAGAACAAAACACGGCACGUGUCCCGUUCCGCGUGUAUCCGAAGAAAAAGCAUCGGCUAACUCCGUGCCAGCAGCCGCGGUAAUACGGAGGAUGCGAGCGUUAUCCGGAUUUAUUGGGUUUAAAGGGUGCGUAGGCGGUCCGUGAAGUCAGCGGUAAAAUUGCGGGGCUCAACCCCUUCGAGCCGUUGAAACUGGUAGACUUGAGUGGGCGAGAAGUACGCGGAAUGCGCGGUGUAGCGGUGAAAUGCAUAGAUAUCGCGCAGAACUCCGAUUGCGAAGGCAGCAUACCGGCGCCAAACUGACGCUGAGGCACGAAAGCGUGGGGAUCGAACAGGAUUAGAUACCCUAGUAGUC
rnacentral:rRNA from 1 species